UGGGGAAUUUUGGACAAUGGGGGCAACCCUGAUCCAGCCAUGCCGCGUGAAGGAUGAAGUAUUUCGGUAUGUAAACUUCGAAAGAAUAGGAAGAAUAAAUGACGGUACUAUUUAUAAGGUCCGGCUAACUACGUGCCAGCAGCCGCGGUAAUACGUAGGGACCAAGCGUUGUUCGGAUUUACUGGGCGUAAAGGGCGCGUAGGCGGCAAUUCAAGUCAUCUGUGAAAUCUCCGGGCUUAACUCGGAACGGUCAGAUGAUACUGCUUUGCUAGAGUGCAGAAGGGGCAAUCGGAAUUCUUGGUGUAGCGGUGAAAUGCGUAGAUAUCAAGAGGAACACCUGAGGUGAAGACGGGUUGCUGGGCUGACACUGACGCUGAGGCGCGAAAGCCAGGGGAGCAAACGGGAUUAGAUACCCGCGUAGUCCCUGAGCGGGCUGGCAAGGCGCAU
rnacentral:rRNA from 1 species